rnacentral:lncRNA from 1 species
UUUAAAGGUGUCAGACCACCAAUUAAAAGUCCCUAUCUGUUCAACCAAAUUUUGCAAUUUUCAUAGCUUUCUAAUUUUUUUAUCUUAAGUUUAACCUCUUACAAACCAGGUAUGUCCUGAAUCGUACAGGUAUCACCUUUCUUCAUGCCAAUUUUCAACAUACCUUUAAAGCCAUAUAAGAAAGAAGAGACCUUCCGAACGGAUGUACCACUAAAAAUAACCCCUGGUUUUCUUGAAAUCUUUAAUUAGUAUACUAUGGAGCGCAUUAAUCCUCAAUUUUUAAUGUCAACUCAUAGACAAGUAAAUUUGGGCUCAAAAUGGUCUUAAUAUAUUUCUCUUUCACCAAAAGUUUCAUUUCUGCAAAUUUGUUGGGUAGUUUAAGUAAACAAUGACAUCAAAUGCACUAUUUUUUGUCCGAGUAGGCCUACU